CUUCAAUUGUGUUGUCGUGUGGUUAUCGACGUGAUAACAACAGUGGAUUUAAAAAUUGUUAAUAACCAUGGUUUUGGUUGUAACUCAGAUAACGCAUUUAAUGAUGCGGAACAGACCGCCAUUUUUACGUUCAAAUUCCAUGGACGUACUAGUAAUACCAAAUAAUAUAAUAUUAUGUAUAUUUAGUAUUAUUAUAAUCCAUGACGAAUUUUAUUCUUUGUUUCAUCGUUCCAAUCGUUCCCGAAAAAAUGACCACUCAAUAAACACCAUCAUCUUCGUUUUUAAUUUUUCCAAUCAAUUAACUAUGUGUUCGUGUCGAUAUACUUCGAAUUGCUGCAAAUUAAUAUACUCCGAUCCUGGAUUCAUCCUUGAAAAAUAUCGUACAAAUAUAAAAUAAUAAACGCGCGUGAAUGUUCAUCAGAAUAAAUUAAAUUACAAUUGUGUUUUACAUUAUAGUUAAAUAAUAUAAUUGACAUAACUAACGUAUUUUUCUUUACCACUCGACCCAUAUAAUAAAUAUAGUGGUGCCAAUAGAAAAUGUUGAUUCGUGUUUUCAAAGUGAAGUAUUUAUAAUUUAUUUAUUUAUACGCUGUUAAUGGCUUGCAAGAUACAAACACCGAAACAGAUCACUUAUGGUUUCUAAUUCAAAAAUAUUUGAGAAUAACGACAUUGGAGGAAUCCUGCAGGUAUACGUUUAUGCAGGUCGAAAGCUAGUGCGAUGAAAGCCGAAGUGCAUAUUGUAAUACAUAGUUGUUCCGAACGUACAAGUCUCCGGUAAAACUCAAGUUGAAUGAUACGUCCCACCAAGUAUAUUUUAAUCGGAAAGUUGAGGUCGAAUAGCGUCAAUAAAUUAAUCAAACAUUCAAAUUCUAACGAAAUCCUAUAGGGGUGUGAAAUUCAUGCACGCGGUUCUGUACAAUACAAUCGAUAACGUACAACAGAAUAAAUGAGAUGUAUUAAUUUAAUUUGGUCGCGUGUACCUGCACAUGUGUACUGUGUACACACACUUUCAAUCGUCAAUUCAGUUUCGUUUAGAUAUUAUUAAAAGGAGAAAUUUGUAGAAAAUAUCGAUUCAUGUCAAUUUAAUUAAUGGCUGCGGCGUCAAGACAAUAAUGCGCGGCGGAUAUAGUUGCGUGCUUCGGUUAAUGGAAUCGUGAACGUUCAGCGUGUACUAUGUACGCUGUACAACAACAAAAACAACAACAAUAACAAUAACAACGACUUCGACUACGACUACGAAGACUGUACGGUUGGGAGCAGAUGUGUCGUGUACGCGUACAUAAUAUUAUACCAGGUCAUCAGCCUCCUAAAAGACUGAAUCACGAAAUAAGAAUAGAACGCAACUGUUGUAGUCAAGAAAACAUAAAGCAUAUUAUACGCAAUACACUGAUCAAUAACAAAUACUAUAAAUCUAUAAACAUUCUUUUGCAUUUUCUGGACGUGCAAAUGUGUAAUUGUACCAAAGAGUAUGUGAAAAAAAUAUGCAAAUGUCAGUAUUUCCGGUAUAUUAGUAGCUAAUGGACCUUAUGAAUUAAAUUGUUGGUUGUGUAAUGUCGUUUAUCGGAUUAGGAAAACUCACUUUUUAUAAUGAACAAGCGAAUCCAAGAAUUAUGUCUACUUAGCGGCAGUGCGACGAGACCUUUAUGAACUUUUGAGAACCAAAACAAAAAAGCCAAAAAGGUUACACAAACAUGUUUCACUUUAAAACAAUAUAUUUUAAGCUUUUCCCAGAAUCUUGAAGGUUUAACACAGUUUUUCAUCAUGCCGGACCACGGAUCAGAACAUUCAGAACUGCAGUCAGAACUCCGGACGAACACCAAUCAAAUACUUCGAUUAUGUUUGUUCACAUAUGAGUCACUUUACAUUUGACUGUCGAAUCGUCUGGACGACUGGAUUUAAAACAACCACAAGCAGGAAUGUCUCUAUUGUAUGAACAGCCUACAACUGUCCACCGGAAAAUGUUCUGAUAUCCCGCUGGCAUAGUUGAGUACUUGGUACCAGAAAAUCGGUGUUAAAGUCGGUGUUAACUUAUUGCUGUUUAAUGUUUAUUAUGGUGAUAGAAAACGGGUUGGAUCUCCCGGACGCAUUUCUCCGAAUACGCUCGGCUGCCUGCAGGGCUGAACAUCAAACAUACAUCGCCGUCGUCUGCGCAGAACAAACAAACUUGCGCAGACUACGACAGACUGCCGUCUUAUACCGUCUCGUAUUCAGUGGUGUAAUUACGGGGGGAAUGGGAUUUGGGCAUCCCCUGUGAUUUUUUUGAUUUUUUUUUAAUAAAGACUGACACACUUCAUUUA